UACAGAGGGUGCGAGCGUUAAUCGGAAUUACUGGGCGUAAAGCGUGCGUAGACGGUGGCGUAAGUCGGGUGUGAAAGCCCCGGGCUCAACCUGGGAAUGGCGAUGGUGACUGCAAGGCUAGAGUUUGGCAGAGGGGGGUAGAAUUCCACGUGUAGCAGUGAAAUGCGUAGAUAUGUGGAGGAACACCGAUGGCGAAGGCAGCCCCCUGGGUCAAAACUGACGCUCAUGCACGAAAGCGUGGGGAGCAAACAGG
rnacentral:rRNA from 1 species